AGAAGAAGAGCGGGAACGGCGGCCGCUGGCUCGCGCUGACCUGAAGCCUCCGUGAUGUCGGUGACCUCCAAAGUGGUUCUGGGAGUUUCUGUGGUUCUGACUCUGAGCACCGUGGCGGCUGUGCACCUGAAACAGGCCUGGGACCGAGAGCGCCUCCACCAGGGUGUAGUUCGGGAUCUGGAGCGGCUGGAGAGAAAGAAGGAGAACCUGCGGUUGCUGGAGGAGCAGAGGGUCCUGACCCGACACCUGGAGGAGGAGAGGCGGCGCAGCGCGGAGAGGCUCCGCCCCCAGGACACGUGAGGCAGGACCGCCUUCAGGUGGCGCUGCGCCUGAGAGCAGACAUGGACAGCAGCGGCGAGCCCCUGGGGGCGGGCGAGGACGAGGCGGCGUGCACGUCGGCCUCAGAGGGGCUGGAGGAGGGGGAGGUGGAGGGGGAGACCCUGCUGAUCGUGGAGUCGGAGGAUCAGGGCUCCGUGGACCUGUCCCACGACCAGAGCGGGGACUCGCUGACCAGCGACCUGGGGGAGGAGGGGGAGGGCGGCUGGGCCUGCGAGGACAUGUCCUUCUACUGCGAGCGCUGUCACAAGUGGACCCCGGCAGCUCAGCUCCGAGGAGAACAGCCCAGUUACCUGAAAGGAGACAACUUCUUCAAGUUCACCUGCUGCAGCUGCUCCGAGGACGGCAAGGAGAGCUUUGAGCGGAUGCGGCUCACCUGGCAGCAGGUGGUGAUGUUGGCCAUGUACAACCUGUCCCUGGAGGGCACGGGCCGGCAGGGCUACUUCCGCUGGAAGGAGGACAUCUGCGCCUUCAUCGGCCGGCACUGGAACUUCCUGCUGGGAACC